UUUUUUUUUUUUUUUUUUUUUUUUGGGUUCUGUUUGAGCUUUCCCUCCUCCCCUUGGAAAAAAAAACCACCAAAAAAAAAGAAAAAAGCCCUCACUCUUCAAGGUUUUUCUGGAAACCUUUACAAGGAAGAAUGUGCCAGGGUCAAGUCUUUACUGAUUUUCAUGGUGAAUAGAUUACAUGCUUGCAUUCAUGUUCACUUCCGAAGCGCUUAGUGUCUUCCUUCCCUUACUUACAUAUUAACCUCAAAUACCCCGCGCAGCUUCAGCCAAGCUUUACUGGAGGUAGUUAACAAUGUCGGGUCCCCAGGAUGCAGGUUUCCCUUCCUCACCCCCUCCAACUCGUCCCUUGCCUCGAUCGCAACGCCAGAAAGCCAGCAAGCCCUGUAAAGUGCAGACCACGGAGCUAAAGACUGUUUGCUGAUCUCUCCGCCUCAGCUCUGCAGCUAAAUUCUUGGAAAACCAGUGGAUAUUGGGCUACCCCAGCUUGACAAAUACUCCGAGUUUAAUUGCCAGAAGCCUAGUUAAAAUUAUUUGACAUACUGUUAACCCGUAGGAACAAACUCGUCGUACCGAGAUACUUUCCUUUUAGCUUUGUGUCGUCGCUGAAGGCUGAGACCCAGGGAGACCUAUUUUAAAAACCUGGUUAAACUUUUACUAUUGUUGCAUGAAAGGGAUGAUAUAGAAAGCGGAUUGUACAGGGCAGAGACUAAAAAGUACUUUUCUGCCAAUAAAAAUGCACACCCCACCGAAUGAGCAGAGCCAAAGAAAACAGAGAAAUACGCCAAAGAAUACAGCACCUUUUGAGGCACGGACAUCCCUAAGCUCUCGGAAAAAGUAUUUUUUUGCUAUCCUGAUGCUCGAUUUCAGAAAAGAAAUAUUUGAGUUCCGGCUGGAUUUCAUCAAAAUAGAAAAGCAGAAUGGCAAAAGGCUAUUGUGAAGUCGGUACUCUUAGGAAAUCAGACGUGGUUCAAGAGCCAUGCCCCCGUGGACUUGGGAGGCUAGUGGAAGGGAAACGAAAAUGUUAGGGAAAUAAUAUUUGGAUUUUCCCCCCCUCUUCCUCUGCAGUGCAGUGGAAGUAUUUAUAUAUCCGGAGAAAGUUCUCUAGUAAAUUCUGGAGAUCCUCGGUAUUUAAAUGUCAACAUCGAUUUGUUUAUUUAUUGCUUAGCUUAUCGUAACCGACUCAAUAACAAAUCUAAUCAUGUUGUGCAGAGAGAAAAUAUUCUUAUUAUGCAUUUCCCCUACAUUAUAGUUAACUAUUGCGUUUGAAUUCAAGCUGUAAAUUCAAUAUUAUCAAGUAAUUACUUUGUAGUGGAGUAAACUAAUUUAUUAGCAUUAAUGUUUAUAUGCCUUUUUCUUAUUUUACAAGGGUUACCGUUCACAAAUCAAAUGCUCUGGACGUAUCCCUGUAAUGAACUCUUUAUUUUGGUUUGCUGCAAGAACUUCUUAUGCUUACUGCACGUCUGUGAGCUGAACUUGAAAUUAAUGAAUUAAUCUUCCAGCUUGACAUAUUUGCUAGAAAGUGGAUGGAAAGAGAUUGCAUGUCGUCAAAACCGCUAGCAGAAGACUGCAGUGUCGUUUAGGGAUUGUAAAAAGUAAUUGGGACUUCCGCGUUGAGGAAGAGGGAAAACCGAGCCUUCCUCUCGCUAACCUCACUGAGAACAACAUAAACAAAGGCAAGCAUUUCGUUUGGAGAAGCAAAAUGCAUUCGUUACGCCUUCCCAUGUAUUUCGACCGGAUUAGAGAGGGUAAAACCGCUCUGAAUUUGGAACCUCUGCUGCAGGACGGUUUUGCAAAGGAGAAGCGUGGCCAAGAGAUUAAGCACAGAAAGCUACAGAAAAUGAAAUGCCUUAACGCCGAGACCAGCCUGUCGUAGCUUGACUGUUUCUGAGAUGCCGAGAUCCACACCAUGCCACAGAAAUUCACGUCAAGGUAAUUGACUGGGAUUCUAAGCUAAAUUGAAUUUUAUAGGAUAUAAGGUUCUCUCUAAUGCACAUUAAAUUUUAACAAUGAUUUAUAAAGGUAUUUCAUUUUUUUAUUUAAUUAUUUUGCCCAACUCGCCAAGAAACACAUCGGAUUUUACUGUACCACUGCUAACUUUAUGGGAGAGCCUUAUUCACAUAUCGUGAAACCCACCGAACUAAAGCCAUUUCUUCAUCAAUGCUUGCUUUAGGGGCGGGUACAGGAAGUAUCGCUAUACCGAGAAUGUCAAAUCAACGACUUCAAAGCUCCAACUCCAUAUUUUGAUGGACUCUCAGAAUUGUGUUGUAAUUAAGGUACCUGUACUUGUGUAACAUUUAUAGGAAGCUGUUUGUAUAACACGGGCUUAAAGUACGUGCUGCAAUUUAGGAUGCAAUCAUACGUCCAUGUACAGCUUAGCCAGCUCGUCAGGAUCGUUUCUUGUCUCUUCUCUAAUAUGUAAAGCAAGGAUACCCAUAAAAACAGCUCUUUCUCUAAGCCUAAUAUGGCUGCUCUUGCCUGUGCCCGGGUGGAAGCCUGCUCACUGUCCCGCUUGUUUCCCUUUCCCGACUUUUCAACAAGCGCUGAUACUAAUAUCUCUCCUUCCAGAAAUCGGGGGGCAUAAGCAUGACAGAUCCACAUUGCAGAGUCCGGGGGAAUUCGGGCAAAAUAUCCAAAAUGGGACCAGGCGAAGUGUGGUAGUUAGCAUUCUUUCUCUUUCGGUUUAUUUUCCCAUCAAGUUCAUACAGCACAGUAUUUAGAAAUACUCACAUAUUUAAAUGUAAACCAGACACUGUCUGGAGACGAAGUCCAUCCAAGACUGCUUUGUAAUCAUUUUUAUAUUUUUUAAAAUUUUUUUUUUCCUACUCGAAGGCAUUUAGAGGCCAGGCUUGAAAUAACUCGCUUUUCUAUUAGUCCUCACCCAAGCCGACCAUAUAGGUCGUUUUAUACGGUCAGGAAUAAAUGAAAGCAAUUUGCUUUGUGCGCUCAAAUCAAGGCGAUUACGACGAGAUUCAGAUUAAUUAAAACUGACAGGUUACAAUGCCCGGCUGGAAUUUUUCUCUCUAGAUACGCACAAACAAUGGCGAAAAGCAGACAGGUUAAACAUCCUUCCCCGUAUUUCUUGCAUACACAGCCGUCCACCCUCCUCCCCUGCACUUGAAUGAUUAAAACAAUUUCAGAGGCAAGUACAUGGGAAUAAAACAACCGGCGAUAAAAUCCAGGAGACGUUUUUCCAUGCAGCCUGAUCCAGCUCUGCAAUACAACACGGCACUGCGCGAAGCCAAACAACCAGCAGCUCUAUCUGCAAGUCUGCUCUCGUCCUGGGCUCUGAACCCAGCCUCUCCAGAAGCACUUUCCUGCCAAGAGCCCUCUUUGCUUCCCACCUAUGCUACAGAGGAAAGCAGCAUCCCUGAGGAAGGUGGAGCCGGCACCCAAGCUAGGAGAAAGAGCCUUACUUUUCUCCACGAGCUCUUCGGCUCUAUAAGCAUCAGCUUAGGCAGCCGCCUUCCCCCAGGUCCCCGAAGGAGAAGCGGCACCUCGGCCUCAUACAUCGUGGGAGAAACGGAGUGGGGAUUUCCGCUGGCGAUUUGCACACAAGGUGAUUGCAGGAGGCUAAAAUGCUGUCUAAUUCCACGGAUUCCCAUCGCACGAGCAGGAGAAACGAAAAGAAAAAAAAAAAAAAAAGAAAAAGAAAAAAAGAAGUCCCAGUGUUUUUGAUCACGAGACACCGGCCGUUCCUCCCCAGUACACCCCGGGUCACAGUACAGUAAUGACCGUGGGUUGCGCGUUGUAGGACUUGACCUUUCCUACGUAGAAGAGGGCGCUUUACGCUAAGGGGAGGGAAGGGAGGGGGAAGCGGCGGGAGGAAGAGAGAUGCUCUCUUUGGGGAUGUUUGAUCACAGUUCAGAUCUAGGAACGGGCAAAGCUUCUGCCUUGCAGUACGCCAUGUUGGAGCUAUUCACUGGAGAGAAAAAAAAAUCUUUUUGGGGGUGCGGGGGCGGGAAGGAGGCCGAAGGGAGGAGAGAGGAAGAUAGGCUUAAUGAACAUUAGCAUUUCGUACCCUAGUUCAUGAAUCAACUGCAUUCAAGGGGGAGGGGGCCCAGGGGGCAGGGAAAGGCUCACGGCGUGGCCAGAACACCCGCGGCCGGACCCCCGCAGACGCGGCCGGGGCGCAUGGGCGCGUCCCGGCACCCACCGCCCCACAGCCCCCGGCCCGCGGGGAAAAGCCGCCCCCCGGUUCCCGCCCCCUCUGCCUUUUGGGCUCCUUUACCGGCCGAGAGCGCGCAAGGACAUCUCCUCAAAUCCUCAUGAAAGUGCAUUGAAACGCAUCUAAAUGUUAUGAAUGGCGACAAACGGCCUUUUAGCGCCUGCCAAUAUUUUUUUUGUAUUAAGCGCUGUCUUGAUUUUAUUGCUAACGCUGCCCACGGAGAAUGCUGAAAUGCACCAGGAAUGGGAUUUUAUUUACGCUGUAGAUAUUUUAAUGUAUAGGCGAGAGGCCGAGAUUCUUUCCCGUUCUCUCAGACAUAUAUAUAUAUAUAUAUAUAUAUAUAUAUACCCGUUUUUCUGGAAGUAAUGGGCGAUUUUCUGAACACUUCAAUAUUGAGGACGACAUUCCGGUAUUUAAACGGGAAUCUUUCUGAGUGAAAGGCAGCCGAAAAAAAAAUAGAUUUAGAGUUAUUAUUUUUCGGAAAUAUGCUCCUGUCAAGGUUUAUUUCCCACAGCAAUCCACCUUUGCUACAGCCAAGUGCUCUAGGCGGGGAUAGAUUAAAUACCAGAUUAUUUGCUGGGUGGGAAAAAGUGUAACAUUUGUUAUACCUGUCUGUCCGCGUCAAAGACAUAAGGACAUUUUCUACCCAUGGGAAAACUGAGGGACCCACGACGCCAAGAAUCAGGCGAUUAUAAACUACCAUUUCCGAAUACUGGGAAUCAAAAUGUACGUCUUUGAAUCCAAGACUGAAAGUGAGCUACGUGGAGAUUGAAGUGAAACGGAACUUUUUUUUUCUUUAAUUAUAUUGCGUGUUUUGCUCUACGAAUGAAAUGCUGCUCUUUUUUUAGUGCUCCAAUAAAUACGCUAAAUAUACAGUAAUAACUUGCUCCCUCUGUCCCUUGCGUCUCUCUCCACAGCUGCUAAAAUAUUACACCUAACGUUCUUGAUUCAAGGGAAGCUGAGAAAAUAAAGACUGUACGACGUAUACAUACGUUUUGUUUUUUAA